UACAGAGGUCUCAAGCGUUGUUCGGAUUCAUUGGGCGUAAAGGGUGCGUAGGCGGCGCGGUAAGUCGGGUGUGAAAUCUCGGAGCUUAACUCCGAAACUGCAUUCCAUACUGCGGUGCUUGAGGACUGGAGAGGAGACUGGAAUUUACGGUGUAGCAGUGAAAUGCGUAGAGAUCGUAAGGAAGACCAGUGGCGAAGGCGGGGUCUCUGGACAGUUCCUGACACUGAGGCACGAAGGCCAGGGGAGCAAACGGG
rnacentral:rRNA from 1 species